CUCAUUUUCUUUUAAAUGCUAUAAGAAAAAUAAAAGUCUAUCGUUAUAUACCAAUACUAGUUUAAUCUAAAUAUAAUCAUCAGAGCUAAAUAGGCCAAGCUGAAAAGAAACAUGACAUUUAUUGCCUCUAUCCUCGACAUAAGAACCAUGAAAUCCCAUUCUUAAGUAUGGUGGGACCUGUUGGACCAGUUUUGAUUCAUGGUUGGAAACUUGGAAUAAUUCAUUUCCACCAAUUUUUGAUAUCCAUGAUCUACGAAUUUGAUAUGUCUGUAGAGUGUUGGAAUGUCUAACUCAUAUUGACUUGCCCAUAUGUAUCAACAAGAGUUGUCCAAGAUGAAUGCAAGUGUGCUGAUAAGGAGCAACCACGUUAUAUUCUUUUGGGAGGUUGGAAAGGAAGAGAGAUAUCAUUUCAAACAAAUUUGUUUAAUUAGAGGGUACUCCAGUCGCCUCAAGCAAUAAUGAUGUAGAGAUCAAGGAACUUUCUGGUAUUUGGUAAGAAUAAGAAUGAAGCUUUCCUUGAAAAUAAUUCAGUCUCCAGAAGCAAAAACUUCAUGUAGGAAGUCGUUUCCAGUAUAAUUAAACCAUCCAAAUAGUCAUACCAGGUCUGAGAAAAGUUAAUGUAAACUUUCAACAGAAUUUUGGAAUACAACAUCACAAAAUUAGAACAGAAAAGUUUCUCUUCUGAUAAGUAAUAUUACUAAUAGGGAAUUUAAUUAGAGUUUAAGUAGCCUUCACUAUUUGGUUUUCAUAUAGUUCCUCCCGAAAGUAACUUAAACUACAAUAAGAAAACUUCAAGUGAGGAGUCCUUGUUUCUUUUAUAAUGAGCUCUCCCAACUACUAUACCAGUUGAUAGAAAAAUUAAUAAAAUAUUAUUCGCAACAAAGAUAGCUUAACCUAACAAUAACAAGACAAUUCAAAUAUAGAGAAUUCUUGAUUGCAAUAGCAGUAAUUUUUGUUAAAGAACUUCCUCUUGUAACCCCAGCGGAAAGUUUAGUUAUAUCAUAAUGUACGUCUAUGAGCAUUGCAUAAUCAGGCAAAGCAUUUUGUAUAUGAUAGGGGAAUAAAAUUCAACCACCCAAAAAAAUAAUAAAGGACAGGCAAAAUCUGACAUAUUAAGGCCUUGUUUGGGAAUGCUUUUGAGAGCUAGAAAGUACUUUUUGGAGAGUGAAGAGCACUUUCAGGCAAUAUGGUGGUGUUUGAUAAAAAAAAAUCAGAAGAGCUUUCUCGUUCUCCAAAAGGCUAAAAAACAUCUCUUUGGAAAAAGCUCCAUUUUUUGGGCUUUUCCGCAAAAGCUCUACUUGGUUGAGGUCUGGAAAGCUGUUUUUGGUUUAAUGAAAAUUCCCUAGUGACCAAAAUACCCAUAAUAAUGUAUUAUAUUGUAUUGUAUCAUAUCAUAUUAUA
rnacentral:lncRNA from 1 species